rnacentral:rRNA from 1 species
GGGAUGGCGGCAGCCUACACAUGCAGUCGAACGGUAACAGGAAGCAGCUUGCUGCUUCGCUGACGAGUGGCGGACGGGUGAGUAAUGUCUGGGAAACUGCCUGAUGGAGGGGGAUAACUACUGGAAACGGUAGCUAAUACCGCAUAACGUCGCAAGACCAAAGAGGGGGACCUUCGGGCCUCUUGCCAUCGGAUGUGCCCAGAUGGGAUUAGCUAGUAGGUGGGGUAACGGCUCACCUAGGCGACGAUCCCUAGCUGGUCUGAGAGGAUGACCAGCCACACUGGAACUGAGACACGGUCCAGACUCCUACGGGAGGCAGCAGUGGGGAAUAUUGCACAAUGGGCGCAAGCCUGAUGCAGCCAUGCCGCGUGUAUGAAGAAGGCCUUCGGGUUGUAAAGUACUUUCAGCGGGGAGGAAGGCGAUGAGGUUAAUAACCUUGUCGAUUGACGUUACCCGCAGAAGAAGCACCGGCUAACUCCGUGCAGCACCCCCAAAAAAAAAAAA